AGAGAGGGAACUGAUUCCUCAAGAUUACACAAGUGUAGGGGCGCAGUCGGUUAAGCGUCCGACUUCAGCCAGGUCACGAUCUCGCGGUCCGUGGGUUCGAGCCCCGCGUCAGGCUCUGGGCUGAUGGCUCAGAGCCUGGAGCCUGCUUCCGAUUCUGUGUCUCCCUCUCUCUCUGCCCCUCCCCCGUUCAUGCUCUGUCUCUCUCUGUCCCAAAAAUAAAUAAACGUUGAAAAUAAAAUAAAAAAAAAAAAAGAUUACACAAGUGUUUAAACAACGGAGUUCCCAGUUGAACACAGCUCCUCUCAUUCCAAGUCCUGUGCUCUUUGCUAGUCCAUGUCUUUGGACAUGACUAUUUUGUACUAUUUAUAGUUUCCGGAAUUAUCACUUUUUUCCUUAGUAUUGGCGAAUUAAAAAAAAAAAAAAGACUCCAACCUGUUUUAACUGUGCUAAAAGGAAGACAAAAAGCAAAGUGGGUGUCUAUACUUGCAUCUGGGUUCAAAAUAGGUGACAGGGUGUUGGGGUGGGGUCUGGUGAGCAGAGUGGCAGGGAAGUGGAGAUCCCAGGAGCCAGCGUGGCAGGGCAUCUAGAGAAGCCGCUGGGGAUCCCCUCUGGCUCUAUGAAGAGUCGGUGCCUCCAACCCAGCUCUCCCACUCUUCCCACACUGGGGAUCCAGAUGAAGCUGAGCCCCAGAAUAGUGAUGCGUCCUCGUCAAGGUCACACAGCGAGUUGGCGGCAGAACCGGAAUGAGAGCGCAGGCCUUCACUGAGUGCCUGCUUGGUGCCCCACACCGGACUAGCUCUGCACACGUGAUCUUGUUUAAACCCCGCAACAACACUGCAAGGUGGAGAUUAUCAUGUCUGUUCUCGAGAUGAGGAAACUGAGGCUCGUGUCCUAGAUCUCCCAGUGAGAAAGUGGUAGAACUAGCUUUGAACUCAGAACUUCCUCACGAUUUCCCUUCCCAUGCCCCCCAGACUAUUAAGGUUAAGAGUGGAGACUGAGGGAUGGGGCGAGACACGUGCUCAACAGCUCUAGAGACACAAUAGGAAGGGAACAUAGGCUGAGAAACGUCUCAUCCUCAGCUUAGGCUAGACCAGCUCUCCAUGACCUUCAUAAAGUGGCCCAAAUAUUGAGGUCCUCCCCAAAUUCCAUUCUGAGAGGGUAAGUCUGGGGGUGGGGGGGUGGAAACAAGGUGGUUAGUGGCCCUUCACAGUUGUGAGAGUCUGGAGAUUCAAGAGAGGUCUUAAUCCACAGGCUUCUUUCUGAUUUCCUACCUAAGGUUCAGCUG
rnacentral:lncRNA from 1 species